rnacentral:rRNA from 1 species
AUACGGAGGGUACGAACGUUAAUCGGAAUUACUGGGCGUAAAGCGCGCGUAGGUGGUUCGGUAAGUGGGAUGUGAAAGCCCCGGGCUCAACCCGGGAACUGCAUUCCAAACUGCCGGGCUAGAGUAUGGUAGAGGGAGGUAGAAUUUCCUGUGUAGCGGUGCAAUGCGUAGAUAUAGGAAGGAAUACCGGUGGCGAAGGCGGCCUCCUGGACAAAUACUGACACUGAGGUGCGAAAGCGUGGGGAGCAAACAGGAUUAGAAACCCCAGUAGUCC